AGAUCAAAGGGAAUGUGUAAUUCAUACAAUUACUAAUUUUCAGAAACAGGGUUCAAAUCCUGUUUGAUCUA
rnacentral:tRNA from 1 species